AACGAACGCUGGCGGCAGGCCUAACACAUGCAAGUCGAGCGGAUGAAGAGAGCUUGCUCUCUGAUUUAGCGGCGGACGGGUGAGUAAUGCCUAGGAAUCUGCCUGGUAGUGGGGGAUAACGUUCCGAAAGGAACGCUAAUACCGCGUACGUCCUACGGGAGAAAGCAGGGGACCUUCGGGCCUUGCGCUAUCAGAUGAGCCUAGGUCGGAUUAGCUAGUUGGUGAGGUAAUGGCUCACCAAGGCGACGAUCCGUAACUGGUCUGAGAGAAUGAUCAGUCACACUGGAACUGAGACACGGUCCAGACUCCUACGGGAGGCAGCAGUGGGGAAUAUUGGACAAUGGGCGAAAGCCUGAUCCAGCCAUGCCGCGUGUGUGAAGAAGGUCUUCGGAUUGUAAAGCACUUUAAGUUGGGAGGAAGGGCGUUUGGCUAAUAUCCAGGCGUUUUGACGUUACCAACAGAAUAAGCACCGGCUAACUUCGUGCCAGCCGCCGCGGUAAAAC
rnacentral:rRNA from 1 species